rnacentral:rRNA from 1 species
GAUGAACGCUGGCGGCGUGCUUAACACAUGCAAGUCGAACGGAAAGGCUCCUGCUUGCAGGGGUACUCGAGUGGCGAACGGGUGCGUAACACGUGGGUGAUCUGCCCUGCACUUCGGGAUAAGCCUGGGAAACUGGGUCUAAUACCGGAUAGGACGCUGGUUUGGAUGCCAUUGUGGAAAGUUUUUCGGUGUGGGAUGAGCUCGCGGCCUAUCAGCUUGUUGGUGGGGUAAUGGCCUACCAAGCCGUCGACGGGUAGCCGGCCUUAGAGGGUGUACGGCCACAUUGGGACUGAGAGACGGCCCAGACGCCUACGGGAGGCAGCAGUGGGGAAUAUUGCACAAUGGGAGCAAGCCUGAUGCAGCGACGCCGCGGGUGGGAUGACGGCCUGCGGGUUGUAAACAGCUUUCGCUAGGGACGAAGCGCAAGUGACGGUACCUGGAGAAGAAGCACCGGCUAACUACGUG